UGCAGAUCGAUCGAACGAGUAAUAUAGUUUAUAAAUUAGCAGCAGUUUCUUCUACUCAUCUGGGAUUGAAAUAUGAAAUUGAACAAUUUUCCAUGGAACUUCUACACAAGACUAUGUCUUUCACGGUUUAUGAAAUGAUACCUCUGGAUAAUAGUUUAUUAACAUCAGUUUUAAGUACUAUGGUAACUUACAUUAUUAUAAUCUUUCAAUCCGGUUACCACGCAAAAAAUAUACAAUCUGGCGGCUAUAAUGUCAGCCAGAAUGAAGGGUAGAUUUCACAAAAGAAGUUUUACACAUUUUAAACCUUCAUACAAGUGAUAAAUGCUAUUGUAAAAUGAAAAUCAACACAAGUAAGUGACCCGACACAAAAAUUUUAGAAACGUAUAUGACGCCAACUAUAUAUACGCUUACAAAACCUCCUAUAGACAAAAGACACGUUUGUCAAUGAAGUUAUAACAGUAUUAUUUGAACCAUAUUUCAUGAGCUACAACGUUCGUAGGACAGAAUUUUAUUAUGACACAUCAUUCUGAAGUACGCUGAGAUUAAAUUCGCAGAAUUCGUUUUUCGGUAUCCUUCAGAAUCUUCAAGGUCAUCAAAUUUUUACAAAAAGAAUUUAAAUGACAAAAUUGGCAGCGGAAUUGAAAGCUUAUCACCGAGGAUUAAGAUGCUUUCAACAGAACUAAGUUGUGUCUUCUGGCUUAGAAAUCGUUUAGAGAUAAAUCGGCCAAAUGAUUUUGAACAUGGGAACAAUUUGAAUCACCUACAAGUUUUGAAUCAAUCGACUGGUUCAGCUCAUCUUCGAGUAUGAUCAAGGUCAUCGCCUAAACAACAAGUAUACGGAAUUUAAAUUAUAAGCCUUCUCGCGUGAAAAUUGGCCGAAAAUACACCAAUAACGCUAAAUUUAUUCAAAAUCAUGCCGAAACUAUAGAAUUUUAUUCAAAAGGCCUAAAUUUCGCUGAAGCUGUAGAAUGUUAUUGGAAGAGAUCACGAGUUGGCCGAAAACACGCUUAAAUUUUAUUAAAUUGGCCGAUAAUUAACUUAGCCUAUUUCCGGUUUUUUUUUAGGCCUAAUUAUCGGCUAUUAUUUGGCCUAGCUAGAUUCCAGCUUUGUGUUCACUAUCUGAGCCGUUCAUUGGCCAAGAAAAAUUAGUAUUAUUAUUUUGGCUUGAAAUUUGUUUCGUGGGUUAUCCUGAUGACAAUGCGUCUUUUAUUUAGAAUGAGUCAUGUAUGCAGUUUUUAUACGUUAAAAUUGAGGAGUUCAUUAUGCUUUUAACCCUUCCUUACCCACGCUAUGAGCGUGGCGCCGCCUUUUUUAAAUUUUAUUUUUUUUUCUCGUAACUACUUCAAUUCGUAGUUUUGAAAAAAAUUUAAUUCUUUCUUUGAUCUAUUAAAAAAUUUUUAAUGCUAUUUACAUGCAUAAAAACCCUUGGAAAAUAUUUUUACAUUCUAAAAUUCGAGACCGAGUUUGAGAAAGCGGCGCUCUGCCGCCCAUCGUGGGUAAGCCUCCCGAUCUUUUUCAAACUGCGCUGUUGCCAACUUUCUUUGC